UUGUUGGCUUCCUUCAGCUAAGGGUGCUCCCACUGACUUGUCCACACAGGUUUUUUCUGCUCUGGUUUUCUUGUGGAAAAGAAAAUACAAGACUGUAUUUGAAUGUUUGUUUUGAGAACAAACACAAAGAGUUAUGCAGGCUUUGCAGGCAGAGCUGACGGAACAGGUAGGUCCUGUGAUGAAAGCCUGUGGGUCACAGUGGCAUUCCCUGAAGAACGCCACAGAACAGGCUUUUGUUUGGCCCAGAAAAAAACUCAGCACAUCACUGUUCCAGAUCAGUGCCCCCAUCAGGACAAAGGCCUCGACACGAAGAGGACUGAGAGCCUGGGAUGCUACCUACUGCAGCAGCUAUAUUAUUAACAAAGGCAAUCAUGUAAGAAAAGGCGUUUCCACAGGAGCAUGGUGGGUAAGAUCCUGCUCUCACUAUUUGACAUGAGUCACAGUACUGCUUUCUCCAGCGAAAGCAAGCCUGUGAAAUUAUCAUCUUUGAAGGUAUGACUUCCAUGGUAUUGUAAACAGCAACAGACUCAUAGGCAGUGUAAAAGCUCUGGAGAAAAUCAUUGAUCCUAUUAGCUGAGCUUCCUUAUCUGAGUUUCUCAGAGACCACUAAGCACAGAAGACCCACACGGAUCAACAUGGAGGUUUGCUUUGGUCCUGUUUAUUCUCAACACAGCACAGGCACUCUGAAUG